rnacentral:rRNA from 1 species
CCUACGGGAGGCAGCAGUGGGGAAUAUUGCACAAUGGGGGAAACCCUGAUGCAGCGACGCCGCGUGAGUGAAGAAGUAUUUCGGUACGUAAAGCUCUAUCAGCAGGGAAGAAAAUGACGGUACCUGACUAAGAAGCCCCGGCUAACUACGUGCCAGCAGCCGCGGUAAUACGUAGGGGGCAAGCGUUAUCCGGAUUUACUGGGUGUAAAGGGAGCGUAGACGGCAGCGCAAGGCUGGAGUGAAAUCCCAUGGCUUAACCAUGGAACUGCUUUGGAAACUGUGCAGCUAGAGUGCAGGAGAGGUAAGCGGAAUGCCUGGUGUAGCGGUGAAAUGCGUAGAUAUUAGGAGGAACACCAGUGGCGAAGGCGGCUUACUGGACUGUAACUGACGUUGAGGCUCGAAAGCGUGGGGAGCAAACAGGAUUAGAUACCCUGGUAGUC